rnacentral:rRNA from 1 species
AUGGCAACCCUUCGAGUCGACGAAAUUCAUAAGAUUCUCCGCGAACGUAUUGAACAAUAUAAUAGGAAAGUAAGGAUUGAGAAUAUUGGUCGCGUAGUUCAAGUGGGGGAUGGGAUUGCUCGUAUUAUAGGUCUUGGUGAAAUAAUGUCAGGUGAAUUAGUCGAAUUUGCAGAAGGUACUAGGGGUAUUGCUCUGAAUUUGGAAUCCAAAAAUGUUGGGAUUGUAUUAAUGGGCGAUGGGUUGAUGAUACGAGAGGGAAGUUUUGUAAAAGCAACAUGA